AUUGAACGCUGGCGGCAGGCCUAACACAUGCAAGUCGAGCGGAUGAAGGGAGCUUGCUCCUGGAUUCAGCGGCGGACGGGUGAGUAAUGCCUAGGAAUCUGCCUGGUAGUGGGGGAUAACGUCCGGAAACGGGCGCUAAUACCGCAUACGUCCUGAGGGAGAAAGUGGGGGAUCUUCGGACCUCACGCUAUCAGAUGAGCCUAGGUCGGAUUAGCUAGUUGGUGGGGUAAGGGCCUACCAAGGCGACGAUCCGUAACUGGUCUGAGAGGAUGAUCAGUCACACUGGAACUGAGACACGGUCCAGACUCCUACGGGAGGCAGCAGUGGGGAAUACUGGACAAUGGGCGAAAGCCUGAUCCAGCCAUGCCGCGUGUGUGAAGAAGGUCUUCGGAUUGUAAAGCACUUUAAGUUGGGAGGAAGGGCAGUAAGUUAAUACCUUGCUGUUUUGACGUUACCAACAGAAUAAGCACCGGCUAACUUCGUG
rnacentral:rRNA from 1 species